GCUCAUUUCAGCCUGGGAAGAGCCACAGCUCACCCAGGUCUGUCUGAGGCACAGCAGAUGGCACAGCACAGCCACACGGCACACACAGAGCCCUGGGCCAGCAGCACCUGCUGCUCCAGAAGGAGCCCAGCUGUCUGUGCAGCUUCUGGAGCUGCCUGCCAAGUCCCUCCACACGCUGGGCUCGGGGAUGAGUCCCCACACAGCUGCCAUGGGGAACCCAGGGCAGGAUCAUCCACUCCACGAUGGUGGGAGGCGGCCCCUGCAUGUGGAGGUCUGUCCUGACGAUGUGCUGCGACGCCAGCAGGAGCAUGAACAGGAAGGUCAGAAACCAAUAUGAUUGGAUGGCAAAGUUAACACCUCUUCAACCACACUGAGAGCCAUCAAGAAGUCCCUCCUCUAAAAAGGAAUGAACAACAAAGAUACAAUAAAGAAAACAUCUCUUCUUGUUUACAGCAAAUCGCCUGGGAAAGAAAUUUCACCAACCAAAACAUCUCAGGCAUGAAAUCAGGGCUACAGGAUUUAGGAUUCCUUCUCAUGGAAGAGACUUUUUUUCCUGCUUGCAGCAUCCUUGUGUGGAUCUCACACACACAGCCCCGUGCACAAGCAGCACCACGAGGAUUACUACAAGCUGCUCCUCUCCCCAUGUGUUGGAGCACGUUCUUUUUCAGAAUGUUUCAGGUUUCCAUCGCCUCGAACGAGUCACAGCCAGCACCUUUAAAAAAAGUGACUAAAGAUGAGGCAGGAGGGAAGAGGUGCAAAGCUCUGGGAGCUGUGUGAGAGGGAGAGCGUCUCGCAGAGUGUGUGUGUGUGGGCUGGCAGGAGACAGCAGACAGCACCAGGUGUGGCCAGGUGACAUCUGCUGGGGGGCAGGACACACAUCUGGGACCCUGCCUGGCUGCUCAGGAGGGCAGUGUAGGAAAGCACCCCUCACAUCCAAGUUCUGUGUAAGGAAAGAAGUUUCAGUUUACCUCUAGACACAUUAGGAACUUCAGCUGGAACUUUCCUUGCUUCUCUCACGACAAUUGGCUCAGGGACAAGGCAGAGGAACCUGCUGGACUUUCUGGAUGCUCUUUAGAAGCUGUCCCUGUUGUGAUUGGCAGUUUGCCAAUUAAGCCCUCCUGGGUCAUUAAGCAGGUGAGGGAAAGAACAAAGGUGCUCAGGGCAUUUUCGGGAUGUCAUAGCAGGUGUAUGGACUUUGUUCCUAACACUGUGCACGGCUUUGUUCUGUGUUUUUGUAUUAUUUCCUUUCUUUUAUUAAAACCUUUUUGCUUUUUCAAGACACACUCGACCCUGGUCUCACUAAAUUCUUUAAGCCAUUUCUGCAGGGCUGGCCCCUCAGAGUUGUUGGGAACCCCAGAAGGGAGCAGCUGUAAAAC